UAACUGGCUUUUUUCAAAGCCAUAAAGUUGAUCACAUAAUAGGGAA
rfam:Kiloniella sp. P1-1 contig4, whole genome shotgun sequence.